rnacentral:rRNA from 1 species
GACGAACGCUGGCGGCGUGCUUAACACAUGCAAGUCGAACGGUAAGGCCCUUCGGGGUACACGAGUGGCGAACGGGUGAGUAACACGUGGGUGAUCUGCCCUGCACUUCGGGAUAAGCCUGGGAAACUGGGUCUAAUACCGGAUAGGACCACUGCCUGCAUGGGUGGUGGUGGAAAGCUUUUGCGGUGUGGGAUGGGCCCGCGGCCUAUCAGCUUGUUGGUGGGGUGAUGGCCUACCAGGGCGACGACGGGUAGCCGGCCUGAGAGGGUGACCGGCCACACUGGGACUGAGAUACGGCCCAGACUCCUACGGGAGGCAGCAGUGGGGAAUAGUGCACAAUGGGCGCAAGCCUGAUGCAGCGACGCCGCGUGAGGGAUGACGGCCUUCGGGUUGUAAACCUCUUUCAGCACCGACGAAGCGCAAGUGACGGUAGGUGCAGAAGAAGGACCGGCCAACUACGUGCCAGCCGCCGCGGUAA